AGGGCUCUACCCGAGGGACGUGACAGCGGAAAUCCCGCCUUCCCCUUUGCAGUUUGGGGUUGCAUGCGCAAACAGGAGCCAAGGGCGCCCUGCCAGUCGUCGCUGGAUGCAACAGGCGCGAGAGGGGCAGCGGGUUUGGAAGGAAGGUCCGAGAAGAAGCACUUUCCCCUGAGCAGCUCCCGGAAGGCGCUAGCCCGAGAAGCAGGGAGGGAGCAUGCAGGUAGUGUUUGGGCGCAAGCGUGCCUGGAGGCUGAGCGCGGUGAGGUUGCAGCGGUGGAACGGGCAGCGCCCGCCUACUUACUGCAAGACUGGGCAACGUGCUGGGAAGGAAACGUCUCAAACCUAGGCAAUGGAUCUAGGCCGAAGCAGCAGCUUCCCAGGGGUGGCACAGCAGCACCACUACUACCACCACCGUAGUGAAAUGUGCAAAACGUAAACGGACUCUCUCCAAAAAGCAAAUUACUAGCUGAGUACAGCAGCAAGAAGGCAAGCAACAAAAGAGCUUCAAAGUGCAAAGUGCACCAUAUCUAGAGGAAAGAGGAUGUGUGACAAAGGGAUGUGCAGGGGAAAGGCACCAUCUAGGCCAGAGUUGGACAGACUAAGGGCCCAAGGUGACCUUCCAGGCCAUACUGUCUCUGGCCUUCAAAACUCUUCCCCAGGCUGCACAGCUCGCUAGCCUUGCUUUGCACCCCAAGUGCAUAUACCCAGCUAGAAUGUGGCCUUGACCUCUGUUGUCAUUUGCUUGUCUGGAUGGAGGCUAUUUACAACACUACAGAGGGGUAUGUGUGUGUGCAGAAACUAGCCUAGGGUACAAAGGUAAAAUGUACAUUUAUUUCUAAUCUCACUUUUGCCUCUGGCCCCACCCCCACUAGCUUGUGCCCCCUCCCUCAAAGUUACUCGGAAGGGAAUGCAACCGUUGGGCUGAAAAGGGUUCCCCACUGCUGAGGUAGGCUAUGGUUUAUUGAAGAGUAAAGGUAAAGGGACCCAUGAC